AAGAAACUUUCUUUUCCCGCAGGGUGGAUGCUGAAAGUCUCUAACCAAAUAUCCCAGUAAGGUGGAUGGUGUAAUUAUCAUGUUGUUAGGUAUUUCCUUACUGACGUGCACCACAAUUUAGCCUCUAAUCUCCGAAAUAGAUGUCAAAGCAGUUUUUGACAUCUUUAGAAAGUCUGUUUUGCGGGUGCUACACUUAUGAUGACCAUAACGAUGUGCUCAGCUAUCAAAACAAGGGGACCGGUGUAUUUAAAAUAAGCGGACGGGCACAUGC